GGCAAAAAGACCUGACACACGUUGUGGCAGGGAGGUGAAACCAGGGCAGAUGGGAAUUCCUCAACACUGGGCUUCCCAGAACGCGACACCGCCUUGGGGCCUGAGACCCUGGGAGGCAGGCCCAGGGACCUGGGGCUUUGCCCCUAGGCCUCAUCUACUGCACAGAGGGCUCCUUGUCACGCUGUCUCCCUGAGUCGUGGCCUAGGAGCUGUAGGCCAAUCUACUCAGGAAAAUCAGAACCAGAGGAGAGAAAGGAAAGGCAGAGAUUUUUGUGAAGUCUGUGCAGUGUUACAUGGCCCUGGCCCAGCUCCUGGUGGAGCAGAACUUCCCAGCCAUUGCCAUUCACUGUGGGACAUCCUGGGAGGAGAGACCUUUCAUGAUGAAUUCUUGUGGCCACCAACCUAUUUGGCUGAGGCAUGGACAUUGAGCAGGUAAACACUGCCACCAACUGCCACCUGCCUGAGGAAUCCCACACCUACCUGGAUCAGGAGGCCUGAGCAGGCCAGUUCACUCAAGGGCUUGGCCAUCACAUUUGUGUCAGAUGAAAAUGAUGCCAAGAUCCUCAGUGAGGUGCAGGGUCACAUUGAAGUCAGUGGUAGUGAGCUGCCUGAUGAGAUGGAGAUUUCCUCCUCCAUUGCAGCCAUGGGAGAGGACGCACCCAUUCGAAGAGCCUGAUGGAGGUCUCACACCCACGAACCAUGAGAUCAUGCAUGACCUGAGCUGAAAUCAAGAGUCGGAUGCCCACCCGACUGACCCACCCAGG